rnacentral:rRNA from 1 species
UACGUAGGGUGCAAGCGUUGUCCGGAAUUAUUGGGCGUAAAGAGCUCGUAGGCGGUCUGUCACGUCGGCUGUGAAAACCCGAGGCUCAACCUCGGGCCUGCAGUCGAUACGGGCAAACUAGAGUACUGCAGGGGAGACUGGAAUUCCUGGUGUAGCGGUGAAAUGCGCAGAUAUCAGGAGGAACACCGGUGGCGAAGGCGGGUCUCUGGGCAGUAACUGACGCUGAGGAGCGAAAGCGUGGGGAGCGAUCCGG